ACGACUCUCGACAACGGAUAUCCCGGCUCUCGCAUCGAUGAAGAACGUAGCGAAAUGCGAUACUUGGUGUGAAUUGCAGAAUCCCGUGAACCAUCGAGUUUUUGAACGCAAGUUGCGCCUAAAGCCACUAGGCUGAGGGCACGUCUGCCUGGGUGUCACGC
rnacentral:rRNA from 1 species